CUUGUUACAAAACAGAUUCAAUCAAAUUGAAUAACAAUAAUUCACUUGAGCACACUUGCUCCUUAUGCACCAAUGCACCCCUUAAGCUUCUAAGCUUCCUUGAACCUGUUUGUAAACAAACCUUAAUCCACCUGGAUUAAAUUCCCUUUAGACAACACUUAGUCUAAAAAUAUAUAAGAUUACAAUGAUAGAGGUCUAAUGAUCAAAGCAAAUAAACAAUUUAACAAUGCAAGGCUCGACUAAUGAAUGCAAUGAUCAAAUAGAAAUAGUAAAAGAUAUCACCAAUUUAAUGCCCACGCAAAUUGACUGAAUAUAUCAAUGAAUCAGCAGCUCAGAAUUUGCACCGGAAACAGAGUAGAUUUCAAAGUAUAUAAGUGCAAGAUAUUAAAUCGAGUGUUGUGUGUUGUAUUUUUCAUCACUGAUCUCAGCUGCUUUUUAUAGCCCAAACAAAUUUUACCGUUGCUAAUAAGAAAAGUUUACGUUAAACAAAGGCAACGUUCCAAUGAUUUUCAGUUGAAACCAAACGAAACAAAUAAAUGUUUGGAAAAAAUAUUGGACUCUCUCAAAGAUAAUAGAGACCAAGUCAACUAGGACUAAAUCUGUAACAAUUAUGAUUUAUGAUAAAGAUUAAGUCAGCCAAUAACAGUAACUCAAGUGUCGUCACUUAUCAUAACACAUUCCAAUUUCUUAAAGAUAAUCAUG
rnacentral:lncRNA from 1 species